rnacentral:sRNA from 1 species
CUCUUUGUGUAUUCUCUGAAAGUCUGAAAACAACUGAGGACAACUUGAAGGACCCCAAAUUACGUGAACUUUUGGAUGUGGGGAACAUCGGGCGCCUGGAGCAGCGCAUGAUCACAGU